GAAGGUUUUAUGGUGAUAUACAAGAUAUUCAUCAGUGUGGCUAUGGGACAAGGACUCUGAGCAUGCCUACAUGUAAACUCUGAAAACUAUCCCAGGAUCGAUAGGAUGGAAGGUCAUCAUAACGAAGGAGAGCAAACACUAUGGUGUAUUUACUUCUUCUGUUCCUAACUUUGAGUCUUUGUCCUACAGAUUGACAUCACUGUGCCUGUACUAAUGGGAGCUCACCAAAUCCAGCUGGAUCGGGACUGAAUGAGUAUGCAAUCAAACUGGACUCUCUGAAUGUGGCUGAAGAUGGGGGCUGACUGAGAAGCCAUUGAUAAAGGCACUGGAAUUUGUUUCUACAGAAUGUACUGGAU